rnacentral:rRNA from 1 species
CCUANGGGAGGCAGCAGCAACGAAUAUUCCGCAAUGGACGAAAGUCUGACGGAGCGACGCCGCGUGCGGGAAUAAGCCCUUCGGGGUGUAAACCGCUGUCAGGGAUCACCAAGCAAAGGGGACGAAUAGUCCUCUGCGUUGAGGAGUCCCGGAGGAAGCCACGGCUAACUUCGUGCCAGCAGCCGCGGUAAUACGAAGGUGGCUAGCGUUGUUCGGAAUCACUGGGCUUAAAGAGCACGUAGGCGGCCUGUCAAGCGUCUUGUGAAAUCCCUCGGCUCAACCGAGGAAUGGCUGGGCGAACUGGCAGGCUUGAGGUAGGUAGGGGCGCACGGAACUCUUGGUGGAGCGGUGGAAUGCGUAGAUAUCAAGAGGAACGCCGGUGGCGAAGGCGGUGCGCUGGGCCUAUCCUGACGCUCAGGUGCGAAAGCCAGGGGAGCAAACGGGAUUAGAUACCCCGNUANUC